rnacentral:piRNA from 1 species
UCAGCUUUUAUUGUCUGUUAGGGGAAUUC